AGCUGUGCAUUUUUGCCAGUGAUGAACAAGAACCUGAAUGUCAGUCUCAUAAAAAUCUGCACCAGCAGAGGUGGCCCACUGUUGCUGUCACCACUGCUGAAACGCA
rnacentral:miRNA from 7 species